GACGAACGCUGGCGGCGUGCUUAACACAUGCAAGUCGAGCGGUAAGGCCUUUCGGGGUACACGAGCGGCGAACGGGUGAGUAACACGUGGGUGAUCUGCCCUGCACUUCGGGAUAAGCCUGGGAAACUGGGUCUAAUACCGGAUAUGACCUCCUAUCGCAUGGUGGGUGGUGGAAAGAUUUAUCGGUGCAGGAUGGGCCCGCGGCCUAUCAGCUUGUUGGUGGGGUAAUGGCCUACCAAGGCGACGACGGGUAGCCGACCUGAGAGGGUGACCGGCCACACUGGGACUGAGACACGGCCCAGACUCCUACGGGAGGCAGCAGUGGGGAAUAUUGCACAAUGGGCGCAAGCCUGAUGCAGCGACGCCGCGUGAGGGAUGACGGCCUUCGGGUUGUAAACCUCUUUCAGCAGGGACGAAGCGCAAGUGACGGUACCUGCAGAAGAAGCACCGGCUAACUACGUG
rnacentral:rRNA from 1 species